rnacentral:rRNA from 1 species
UACAGAGGUCUCAAGCGUUUGUUCGGAUUCAUUGGGCGUAAAGGGUGCGUAGGUGGCGCGGUAAGUCGGGUGUGAAAUUUCGGAGCUUAACUCCGAAACUGCAUUCGAUACUGCCGUGCUUGAGGACUGGAGAGGAGACUGGAAUUUACGGUGUAGCAGUGAAAUGCGUAGAGAUCGUGAAGGAAGACCAGUGGCGAAGGCGGGUCUCUGGACAGUUCCUGACACUGAGGCACGAAGGCCAGGGGAGCAAACGGGA